rnacentral:rRNA from 1 species
GAUGAACGCUAGCGACAGGCCUAACACAUGCAAGUCGAGGGGCAGCACAUGAGUAGCAAUACGAUGGUGGCGACCGGCGCACGGGUGAGUAACACGUAUGCAACCUGCCUUCUACUAUGGGAUAACCCGUUGAAAGACGGACUAAUACCGUAUAAUACAGGGGCUCCGCAUGGAGAUAUUUGUUAAAGAUUUAUUGGUAGAAGAUGGGCAUGCGUAUGAUUAGAUAGUUGGUGAGGUAACGGCUCACGAAGUCAACGAGCAUUAGGGGUUCUGAGAGGAAGGUCCCCCACACUGGUACUGAGACACGGACCAGACUCCUACGGGAGGCAGCAGUGAGGAAUAUUGGUCAAUGGACGAGAGUCUGAACCAGCCAAGUCGCGUGAAGGAAGACGGUUCUAUGAAUUGUAAACUUCUUUUGUGCAGGAAUAAAGUGGGUUACGUGUAACCUUUUGUAUGUACUGUACGAAUAAGGAUCGGCUAACUCCGUGCCAGCAGCCGCCGUAAAAC